rnacentral:rRNA from 1 species
CAGCUUUACAAGAUUCACGGGUUGCCCGGAGCGAUAGUUUCUGACAGGGAUCCGGUGUUCACAAGUAAUUUUUGGCAGGAAUUGUUUCGUGCAGCCGGCACUCAACUCAGACUCAGCAGAGCAAACCAUCCGCAGAUGGACGAACAAACUGAGUGUGUCAAUCAGUGCGUCGAGACUUUCCUCCGCUGUUUCACUCAAGCUUGUCCCAGGAGGUGGAGUUUCUGGACACCUCUAGCUCAGUUUUGGUACAACAACGCUCAUCAUUCAGCCAUUGGAGUGACGCCCUUCAGAGCCAUGUUUGGUUAUGAACCU